AAAAAAAAACACCCAAGCUGAACACUAACUAGAGAAACAUUCACAAGAAGACAUGGAGAGCCAGAAAAGAUGAUCCAGUUAUCCAAAGCAAUCGUGAUGAUGAGAUAUAUAGAUACUGAGAAUUAAGUUGGCAGAAUUAGGAAGAAGUAUUAGAUCAUCUUUUCAGCAUCAUACCUCGAGUUUCCAAAGAAGUUGAGGAUUGAGUUCUAAAAAGGGUGAUGGCUGAAUAUGACUUGCAGUGGGCUGCAAUUGAGAGAUUGCCUACAUUUGAGCGGCUGAGAUCAUCCUUAUUUGACAAUAAUGGUGAUGUUGGUGGUACUGAUAAUAAAGGAAAAAGGAUGAUAGAUGUUACCAAGCUUGGAGCUCAAGAACGCCAUCACUUCAUAGAGAAGCUCAUUAAGCACAUUGAGCAUGACAACCUUCACUUGUUGAGAAAAAUAAAAAACAGGAUAGACAAUGUUGGUGGAAAAUUGCCCACUGUGGAGGUGAGAUACAAAAAUUUGCAUGUGGAGGCUGAAUGUGAGGUGGUUCACGGCAAGACCCUUCCAACGCUAUGGAAUUCUCUUAAAAGCGUACUCUCUGUAUUCACUAAGCUGCCAGGUUCAAAGUCAAGUCAAACCAAGAUAAGCAUCAUCAAUGAUGUUAGUGGCAUCAUAAAGCCAGGAAGGAUAACUCUACUGCUUGGUCCCCCGGGUUGUGGGAAGACCACCCUUUUAAAGGCUUUAUCAGGGAAUCUAAACCAAUCUCUCAAGAUUACUGGGGAAAUUUCUUACAAUGGAUACAAGCUAGAAGAGUUUGUUCCCCAAAAGACUUCAUCCUAUAUUAGCCAAAAUGACCUGCACAUUCAUGAGAUGACUGUGAGGGAAAUACUGGAUUUUUCAGCACGUUGUCAAGGUGUUGGAAGCCAAGCAGAGGUAAUGGUGGAGGUCAGUGAAAGGGAGAAGGAAGCUGGAGUUGUUCCAGAUCCAGACAUAGACACUUACAUGAAGGCAAUUUCUGUUAAAGGACUAAAAGGAACCCUUCAAACAGAUUACAUAUUAAAGAUUCUUGCACUUGAUAUCUGUGCUGACACUCUAGUUGGAAAUGCCAUGAGGAGAGGUAUCUCUGGUGGUCAGAAAAAAAGAUUGACUACAGGGGAGAUGAUUGUAGGUCCUACAAAAGCCCUGUUUAUGGAUGAAAUAACGAAUGGUUUAGACAGUUCCACUGCAUUUCAAAUUGUUACUUGUCUUCAGCAGAUGGCGCAUAUCACAGAUGCUACUGUACUGGUUUCUCUUCUUCAGCCAGCACCAGAAACCUUUGAUCUUUUUGAUGACCUUAUUUUAAUGUCAGAAGGGAAGAUUGUGUAUCAUGGUCCACGUGAUCAUGUUCUAGAAUAUUUUGAGGAUUGGGGUUUUAGGUGUCCUGAGAGGAAAGGGAUUGCUGAUUUUGUCCAAGAGGUUAUCUCUAGAAAAGAUCAAGCACAGUACUGGUAUCACAUGGAAGUACCUUACAGUUAUGUUUCAGCUGAUAUGUUCUCUAGGAAGUUCAAGGAAUCUCCUUACGGAAAGAAGCUAGAUGAGGAGCUCUCGGAGCCAUAUGAUAAAUCCCAAAGCCAUAAGGACGCUCUUUCCUUUAGUGUGUAUUCUCUUUCUAAAUGGGAACUUUUUAGGGCAUGUGCAUCAAGGGAGCUUCUUCUCAUGAAAAGGAAUUCUUUCAUAUAUAUCUUCAAAACAACUCAGCUUUUUGUCAUUGCAUGUAUCACAAUGACUGUAUUUUUACAGACUCAGAUGGAUAUUGAUGUUCUUCAUGCAAAUUACUAUAUGGGUGCCCUGUUUUAUUCUCUUAACAUACUUCUUGUUGACGGACUUCCAGAGUUGGCCAUGACUCUUCAAAGGCUUGAAGUAUUCUACAAACAGAAAGAAUUCUGUUUUUACCCAGCUUGGGCAUAUGCAAUCCCAGCAAGUGUUUUAAAGGUUCCACUUUCAUUUGUGGAAUCUCUAGUUUGGACAUCUCUUACUUAUUAUGUAAUUGGAUAUAGUCCGGACUCAUACUUCUGCCAUGACUGCUGGUAGUUUGGCAGUAUUUUUACAUUUUGUAUUUGGUGGCUUCAUUAUCACUCAAUGUAAGGUUAUCAUACGUCUUCUCCAAUCUCAUUCUAAUAUAACCAGUUGAGAGGAUCAGCUGUGCUUUUUGUUUCAGCUUCUAUGCCUGUUUGGUUGAAGUGGGGUUUCUGGGUUUCUCCCCUGACAUAUGGAGAAAUAGGCCUUUCUUUGAAUGAAUUUCUUGCCCCACGAUGGCAAAAGAUGCUUUCCACAAACACUACGAUAGGGCAAGAAAUACUUAAAAGCCGAGGGUUAAACUUUGACGGAUAUCUUUAUUGGAUAUCACUGGGUGCCCUGUUUGGAUUCACAAUCGUAUUCAACAUUGGAUACAUCUUGGCCUUAAGCUUCUUGAAGUCUCCAGGAUCAUCUCGUGCUAUUAUCUCACAUGAAAAGCUUUCCGAAAUAUGAGGAAGUGAAGAUUCACAUGAUGGUACCCAUCAGGACAAAAAGUCUAGAAAUUCUCCUCCACUGACUAGAAUUGAACCAAAGAAAGGUAGGAUGGUCUUACCUUUUACACCCUUAACAGUAGCGUUUCAAGAUGUGCAGUACUAUGUUGACACCCCCUUGGAAAUGAGAGAAAAUGGAUUCACCAACAAAAAACUCCAAAUUCUUUCUGAUAUUAUGGGUGCAUUGAGGCCUGGCGUUCUUACAGCAUUGAUGGGUGUCAGUGGAGCUGGGAAAACAACUCUUCUGGAUGUCCUAGCAGGAAGAAAGACCAGUGGCUAUAUUGAAGGGCAAAUAAAGAUUGGAGGGUAUCCCAAGGUCCAAGAAACAUUUGCUAGGGUGUCAGGUUAUUGUGAACAAACAGAUAUACAUUCUCCUCAAAUCACAGUUGAAGAAUCAGUGAUAUUUUCUGCUUGGCUACAACUGUCUCCUCAGAUAGACGCAAAAACUAAAGCUGAAUUUGUAAAUGAAGUCCUGGAGACCAUUGAGCUUGAUGGAAUAAAGGAUGCUUUAGUAGGCAUACCUGGCGUUACUGGUCUAUCAAAUGAGCAGCGCAAGCGGCUUACAAUAGCUGUGGAGCUUGUUGCAAACCCCUCUAUUAUCUUCAUGGAUGAACCAACAACUGGAUUGGAUGCAAGAGCAGCUGCAAUUGUCAUGCGAGCUGUGAAGAAUGCAGCUGAUACAGGAAGAACAAUUGUUUGUACCAUCCACCAACCAAGUAUUGACAUAUUUGAAGCAUUUGAUGAGUUAAUUCUUCUAAAAACUGGUGGACACUUGAUUUACUCUGGACAACUUGGAGAGCAUUCAAGUAGCGUUAUAGAAUAUUUUGAGAGUAUUCCUCGAGUUCCAAAGAUUAGAAAUAAUUACAAUCCGGCAGCAUGGAUGUUAGAUGUCACUUCUACAUCUGCAGAAGCAAAACUUGGCAUAGAUUUUGCUCUGAAGUACAGAGAAUCUGCUUUAUACGAAAAAAACAAGGAGCUUGUAAGGCAGUUGAGUAGUCCACCUCCUGGUUCAAGAGAUCUGUAUUUUCCUACCCUCUUUUCACAAAAUGGUUGGGGACAAUUCAAAUCUUGCCUAUGGAAACAGCAUUUGGCUUAUUGGAGGAGUCCUGCAUACAACUUGAUGCGUAUCUUAUUUGCACUUAUAUCAGCUUUAAUUUUUGGGGUACUAUAUUGGAACCAAGGAAAAAAAAUAAAUAACCAGCAGAAUGUAUUCAAUAUAUUUGGGGCAAUGUACUCAGCUGUGAUCUUCUUGGGCAUAAGUAACUGCACAAAAGUCCUACCAUAUGUUGCUACAGAGCGAACUGUUAUGUAUCGGGAAAAAUUUGCAGGGAUGUACUCUUCAUGGGCUUAUUCACUUGCACAGGUGAUAGUGGAAGUUCCCUAUCUCUUCAUUGAAACUGUCAUAUUCGUGAUGAUCAUAUAUCCAAUGAUUGGAUAUUAUGGGUCAGCUUAUAAGGUUUCCUGGUACUUCUAUGUCGCAUUUUGUUCCUUGCUGUACUACAAUUAUCUUGGAAUGCUACUUGUUUCAUUCACACCAAACUACAUGGUAGCUACAAUUUUGUCUUCGGGAUUCUACACAACAUUCAACCUUUUUGCUGGUUUUUUUAUUCCUGAACCGCAAAUUCCAAAAUGGUGGAUCUGGUUGUAUUAUCUGACUCCUACAUCUUGGUCGCUAAAUGGAUUGCUUACUUCACAGUAUGGAGAUAUAAAUAAAGACAUCAUGGUAUUUGGAGAAACCAAAACUGUUGUGGCCUUCUUAAGAGAUUACUUUGGGUUUCACCAUGAUCGAUUACCUCUUGUGGCGAUUGUUCUCAUUGCCUUCCCCCUUGUUUUUGCUUCCUUGUUUGCAUAUUUUAUAGCACGGUUAAACUUUCAGCGUAGGUAAAUUUUUUAUUGUUCCUGUGGAGGAUGGAGACGUUGUACACAGUCAACAAUCCUUCUUGUAACUAAUGUGCCGAUCAUUUAAGUAAUCAAUGAUGCUAUGUAAAUUUGUUGUGUUUUUUUAAGAUCUAUUGUAAUUGAACAAGUUAAA